ACGGGGUGCAGCAGGCGCGAAACCUCCACAAUGCACGAAAGUGCGAUGGGGCUACCUCGAGUGCCAUCUGAAGAAGGUGGCUUUUCCACUGUAUAACUAGCUGUGGGAAUAAGAGGGGGGCAAGACUGGUGUCAGCCGCCGCGGUAACACCAGCUCCUCGAGUGGUGGGGAUGAUUAUUUGGCCUAAAACGUUCGUAGCCGGCUCAGUAAAUCCCUCGUUAAAUCCAACGUCCUAAGCGUUGGGCUGCGAGAGACACUGCUGAGCUAGAGGGUGGGCGAGGUCAGCGGUAUUUCUGGGGUAGGGGCGAAAUCCAUUGAUCCCAGGAGGACCACCAGUGGCGAAGGCUGUUGACCAGAACACGCCUGACGGUGAUGGACGAAAGCUGGGGUAGCGAAUCGGAUUAGAUACCCGAGUAGUCCCAGCCGUAAACGAUGCAUGCUAGGUGUUGGAGUGGCCACGUGUCGCUUCAGUGCCACCGGGAAGCCAUUAAGCAUGCUGCCUGGGAGUACGUCGCAAGGC
rnacentral:rRNA from 1 species